rnacentral:rRNA from 1 species
UACGUAGGGACCGAGCGUUGUCCGGAUUUAUUGGGCGUAAAGAGCUUGUAGGCGGUUUGUCGCGUCUGCUGUGAAAUUUCGGGGCUCAACCCCGAACUUGCAGUGGGUACGGGCAGACUAGAGUGUGGUAGGGGAGACUGGAAUUCCUGGUGUAGCGGUGAAAUGCGCAGAUAUCAGGAGGAACACCGAUGGCGAAGGCAGGUCUCUGGGCCAUAACUGACGCUGAGAAGCGAAAGCAUGGGGAGCGAACAGG